rnacentral:snoRNA from 1 species
AUGGGAUCACAGGAAUGAGCCACGGCGCCCAGCCUUAAAGUUGCUUCUUACCUAUACUUCUUUGCUUACUCCCUCAGCACCCAGGGAUGCUUGGUCUCAUACAU